rnacentral:rRNA from 1 species
UACAGAGGUCCCAAGCGUUGUUCGGAUUCACUGGGCGUAAAGGGUGCGUAGGCGGCCGGGUAAGUCUGACGUGAAAUCUCCAAGCUCAACUUGGAAAUGGCGUCGGAUACUAUUCGGCUUGAGGAGUGGAGGGGAGACUGGAAUUCUCGGUGUAGCAGUGAAAUGUGUAGAGAUCGGGAGGAACACCGGUGGCGAAGGCGGGUCUCUGGGCAUUUCCUGACGCUGAGGCGCGAAAGCGUGGGGAGCAAACGGG